rnacentral:lncRNA from 1 species
AAACUCCCAAUUUAUCCCUUCGCUCCCCCUUUCCCCCAGGUAACCAUAAGUUUUAAGCAAGUACUCUUAUACAAAGAUGGCACCAUACCGUCCAAACCGAACAACUUUACCCACCGUGAUCCAGUUUCCCCAUGACCAAUUUAAGUGCCAUGUUUCUUCUUUCUUUAGUGUUCUCUGGACUUGCCUAAACCAUUCCAGGAAUUACCGGAUACCUGAUUGCAUGCAGCUGUGGGUGUCCCAGGUAGAGCGGGGAGGAGGGCCACAGAAGCUGGUUUAUGAGCACAGGAAAUGCUUAUUUCACGACUCAGACUCCGUGGCUUUGUGAGCGUCUGCUCUGCUCCCUCGGUAAGCACCACCCUGCCUCAUCUACUCCCACUUUCUCUCCCACACUCUGAUCUCUCCCAGCUCUUCCCUUAGCUUAGAAUUUUCCACUUCCCUACCCUCCUUUAAUCGUGUGGGCCCUACAGGUCAGUCAAGAUGCAACUUAGAGGACACGUCUUGCCAGAAGCCCUCCCUGACCAUCCCAGACAGGUGCCAGAUCCCUGCAGCUCUGGGUGUGUCCUCCUAUCCUGGCUUAUCGUUCUACACUGCAAUUGUGGGUUCAAUGGUCUCUGACUGUGAACUCAUCAAGGGUGGGGACCCUGUCUUGUCCGCUGGUAUCCUGAGAUCCCAGUAUCAAUUCUGGGCACGUAGGUUUCUCGUAAAUACUUGCUGAAUGAACAAAUAAGUGAAUAAAUACAAGUGUUCCCUUGCAAGUCCAUUCCACUCUGAAAGCAUGACAUAACACCAGCUACAGCGACCAUGAACAUCCGCAUUCAGAGGCCUGGGGUUGGCUGGAAGGACACAGACAGGAACAGCAGGUUAGAAAUAUCAUUUCUUUGUCUAUAUCAGCGAGAAGAAACCCCACUGCUGUCCAACCCAAGACCAUAGGAGUAAAUAAUCUUUGAUGAAGGCAAAAAAAAAAAAAAGUUUAAGCCUGAAAAAUUUGUGGCUGGAAAAAAAUGUUUCAAACAGCAUUUUAUUUUUCCCGUCUGUGGGCUUGUUGUAUAAAUAAUGCGUGAGACAAAUAUGUGAUAGAGAGAUUCAGUGGUAAUUACUUGUUCUCAAAUGUUUGCUUAACCACGCCUCUUAAUCCCACAGACAGUAGUUUAGCACAGAAUUAAAUUCUGCCCUUUAGGAAGGAUUAGCUUUUGGAGUUUUGUGUUUCUGUAGUUUAAAUGUUUUUAUCCCAAUAUUUGUACUUUUCCAUUUAGAAAUAAUGCACUGAGCGUAUGGGGGGC